CAGGCCUAACACAUGCAAGUCGAACGGUGGCCGCAAGGUCAUAGUGGCGCACGGGUGCGUAACACGUAACUAACCUGCCCAAGACUGGGGGAUAGCCCGCCGAAAGGCGGAUUAAUACCGCAUAAUACUACGGAGUGGCAUCACUUGGUAGUUAAAUCUACGGAGGUCUUGGAUGGGGUUGCGGGUCAUUAGCUAGUUGGUAAGGUAACGGCUUACCAAGGCGACGAUGACUAGGGGAGCUGAGAGGCUGGUCCCCCACACGGGCACUGAGAUACGGGCCCGACUCCUACGGGAGGCAGCAGUAGGGAAUAUUGGGCAAUGGGCGAGAGCCUGACCCAGCCAUGCCGCGUGCAGGAAGAAGGCUUUCUGAGUCGUAAACUGCUUUUGACAGGGAAGAAUAAGCACUACGUGUAGUGUGAUGACGGUACCUGCAGAAUAAGCACCGGCUAACUCCGUGCCAGCAGCCGCGGUAAU
rnacentral:rRNA from 1 species